CUGCUGGUAUUUGUAGGUGCCCUCAGUGGCUCAGUAGUCAGUGUAGAUCCUGUCUUUUAUAAUCAGUAGCUACAUCUGGCUACUGGGUCUCUGAUGGCAUCUUUGAGCU
rnacentral:miRNA from 1 species